UUUGUUACUAGAGCCAAUUUGUUCCCGAUUUACUUGACUUGGGUGAGAAUCUGCUAGUGAAAGAGCAAUGGCUAACAUCAUUUGCUCUUCAAAAGAUUGUCGUGAGAAGUAUUCUGAUGGUAUGAUUGAGGCACCUACAUGUGAAGGUGAUGCUUCUGUUGGUAUUGAACCAACAUGUAAAGGUGAUGCUUCUGUUGGUAUUGAACCAGGUACGACACCAGAACUACUAUAACUUGCCCCUGCCUCCGUCAUCCCUGAACCGUCGUCAUCCACAUGCUGUUUACGGUCUAUUGCCCUCAAUGCUUCAAUCCAGUUCAUUUGAGUAAUAU
rnacentral:lncRNA from 1 species